UGUCAGUAUGCCCUCAUCCGCGUGCUGAGUCUUUACUAAAUUCUAUGUCCACCCGCUUUGAGAAGUCAAAGAGGACUCAUACGUAUGUGAAAGUUGCAAGACCGGAAGAGCAAGAAAAAACCAAUAAAGAUGCGGAGAACAAUGAAGUCGAUGAACAAGCAGAAAACCAUGAUGUUGAUGACCCUGAUGAUUUAGAAGAUUA
rnacentral:misc_RNA from 1 species